rnacentral:ncRNA from 2 species
AGCAAAGGCUAGGGGUGCCCGAUGAAGUUGGGCUGAGAAUAAGAACGUAUUUCUUUUACUCUUUAACCUGAUCUGGAUCACACCAGCGGAGGGAAGUCGGCAUACACAGAG